GGGGGGGGGGGGGGGGGGGCGGGGGGCGGGCGGGGCGGGCGGUGGCAGGCGGCGGGGUGCUGGCGAGUGGCGGGCGGGGGGGUGAUGCAGCGGAACGUGCCCAGUCGUGGGGGAUAACUACUCGACAGAGUAGCUAAUACCGCAUACGAUCUAUGGAUGACAGCGGGGGACCGUACGGCCUCGCGCGAUUGGAGCGGCCGAUGUCAGAUUAGGUAGUUGGUGGGGUACAGGCUCACCAAGCCAACGCUCUGUAGAUGGUCUGAGAGGCCGACCAGCCACACGGGGAGUGAGACACGGCCCAGACUCCUACGGGAGGCAGCAGUGGGGAAUUUUGGACAAUGGGCGCAAGCCUGAUCCAGCAAUGCCGCGUGCAGGAAGAAGGCCUUCGGGUUGUAAACUGCUUUUGUACGGAACGAAACGGCUCUGGUUAAUACCCGGGGCUAAUGACGGUACCGUAAGAAUAAGCACCGGCUAACUACGUG
rnacentral:rRNA from 1 species